UACGUAGGGUGCAAGCGUUGUCCGGAUUUACUGGGCGUAAAGGGCGUGCAGGCGGUUUGUUAAGUGCAGGGUGAAAGCUCCCGGCUCAACUGGGAGAGGUCUUCGGAUACGGGCGGACUCGAGGAAGGUAGAGGAAGGUGGAAUUCCUGGUGUAGUGGUGAAAUGCGUAGAUAUCGGGAGGAACACCAGUGGCGAAGGCGGCUUUCUGGUCUGUUCUUGACGCUGAUGCGCGAAAGCGUGGGGAGCAAACAGG
rnacentral:rRNA from 1 species